UACGUAGGCAGCGAGCGUUGUUCGGAGUUACUGGGCGUAAAGGGUGCGCAGGCGGUGGAGCAAGUCUGUUGUGAAAUCUCCCGGCUUAACCGGGAGGGUGCGGCGGAAACUGUUCUGCUGGAGUGAGGGAGAGGCAAGCGGAAUUCCGGGUGUAGUGGUGGAAUACGUAGAUAUCCGGAGGAACACCAGCGGCGAAGGCGGCUUUCUGGUCUGAUACUGACGCUGAGGCGCGAAAGCGUGGGGAGCGAUCCGG
rnacentral:rRNA from 1 species